CAGGGUGACAGGUGGUGCAUGGUUGUCGUCAGCUCGUGUCGUGAGAUGUUGGGUUAAGUCCCGCAACGAGCGCAACCCUCGACCUUAGUUGCCAGCAUUCAGUUGGGCACUCUAAGGUGACUGCCGGCUAAAAGUCGGAGGAAGGUGGGGAUGACGUCAAAUCAUCAUGCCCCUUAUGACCUGGGCUACACACGUGCUACAAUGGGCGGUACAAAGGGUCGCGAACUCGCGAGGGGGAGCCAAUCCCAAAAAGCCGCUCUCAGUUCGGAUUGCAGGCUGCAACUCGCCUGCAUGAAGCCGGAAUCGCUAGUAAUCGCGGAUCAGCAUGCCGCGGUGAAUACGUUCCCGGGCCUU
rnacentral:rRNA from 1 species